CCUCUGACAGUGGGAGGAAGGAGACAAUUAGGAUAAACUGGGCAGCCUACCCUCAUUAUCACGCCCCAGAAAUAUUUGCACCAUUUAUAUUGGAUGGGCGACAUCUUUACUAUGUUAAUGCAUUCGAAAAUGCGGCUAGCACCAUGGAAACAAGUGUUGUGUCAGCUGAGAAUAUUGCCCGACUCAUACUCUCAAGAUAUUUUGGCAAAGUCAAUGUGCAUUCGUCUAAUUUGAAGGUGGUUAAUCCCUAGCCAGCUGGUGAAGAUACAGCAAUGUGCAAAAUACGGGCCAACACUGCAAAUACAGAACAAUAACUAAUUAUUCUCCCCAGUCCCUCCCUUUGUAUUUUAUGUUGUUAUGGUAUUAAUAAUGUAUAGAGGAUGGUGUGUGUGAUUGUUGAGAUUCAAACUUUGCCUUUUUUCCAUAGAGUUAGAACUGAUACUUGCUUAUUAUGUUUUCACUUAUUUGCAAAACUGUCAACACAUGCCAAAAUUAUAUCAUUUUUAGUUAUAUGAAUUAUUGGGAAUGAGUAAUGCUAGUCCUUGAGAAUCAA